UUCACUGAUGUCGAAAUCUGCAUGUUAUUUUAUAGGGACGUGUCAUUAGCCUUGAGAAUCAAAUCAGGUAUAUCGAAUAUCGGGA
rnacentral:sRNA from 1 species